AUAGAGGAAAUAUAUUAUCUAGAGUCCCGACUUAAUGGGUUUGCUCUCUUUCGGCCUACAAGCUAAAUUGGGAGGAUUUUGUCCAUAAGGAUAAGCAUGUGUUAGUGGUCCCGUGCAUUUCUUAUGGGACCAAGCCAUUAUGAAUGUAGUUGUUAUGGAAUUUGUGCCCACAUUGCUCGACCGCGGGGGAAAAAACUAUGAGGUGAACUCAGACGUUCAAAAAAGAAAUCCGUUGAAUUCAAAAAUUAAAAAAUCAAUGCAAUAUUUUUAGAAAAAUGAAUUUUACAACUUCUUUUUAGUGAAAACUGUGCUAAAAAUAAUAUUUGAAUGCUUUUGGCACACAAAUUCUAUGUAUUUUAUGAAAAAUUUCCCUAAAAACAGAAAAAAUCGUGCUGAAAGUAUAAGCGCACCCUAGAACUGUAAUGCGAACGUAUCCCAAUUUGAGUUAUGUCAAGUUUUGACAGAUCAACAGCGAGGUGAGUAUUUUGACAAUUCUACGAAAAUGUAAACAAACCAAAAUUCAGUAUCAAUAAAGCAAAUAAAGGUAAAACAAAAUAUUAAUUUAUUGAAAUAAAAAUAUAUAUUGAAUUUAAUUUAAUCCUCAGAUAAAGAAGAAACCAAGGAUUACGUUGCAACAAGAAAAGUGGAAGUGGAAGCCCCGCGUAGGAAGCCAGCAACGCCGACAUAUUUAUUGUGGAGUGAAUAGGUACAAAUUGAAGUAAAAAAUUACACUGCUCAACAAGGCUGGCGAUCAAAUCGCUCUAUUCUGAUGGCUUAUAUCCUCAUUGUUAACCCUGUAGGAAUGAGAAGGGCCGAUUACAGCGAAGGGAUCGAUGUCGCAGAAGUCUGAAAAGCUUCGCUUUGCAACCUAUCUGACAUGCUUCAUUUGAUGAGAUGGAUAUACAAGUCGAGAGUUGUUAUAAAGUUGAGGAAUAUCUUUACUUCGUGGUCAUUCAUAGCCAAGCCAAAUACAAAUACAAGUUGAAUUAAUUGCAGCGUGUGAUAGUAGUAGCACAUUCACGUAAUGUGCCACCAUCUUUGCAAUGCAAAGCUCUUCUUUCAGCCAGCUACGGAUAGCCGAAAGAUCGCAAUGAAUGCAAGUCCUUCCUCAUCAUGUGAACAAUAGUUAAUUUAAUCUACAGUCAGUUUUUCAAGACAGUGCCUACCACCGAGGAUUGGCCAAUUGAUCUGUUUCACUAUGUUCUUUUUUGCAGAAAUUCACAUUUGAAUAUCUUCCUUUUACAUUUUUUGGCGAACUUUGUGAUGUAGUUGGUCUCUGGAAUUCAAUUGAAAUACCUUCUUUCAAUUAUGAUUUAUUGCUUUCAAUGCCGUCAAUAUCUUCAAUUCAAUUCUGCCUCUUGUUACCAACGAAGAAGGAGACAAGAUCGGAAAAUUUGCUGGUGAUGGUAUUUGGCUGGACGAAGAAAAAACGUCGCCUUUUUCUCUUUAUCAGUUCUUUUUAAAAAUGCCAGAUUCUGAAGUCGAGAAUCUUCUCAAGUCGUUCACGUUGUUCAAAUAGUUUUAUUCCACUGGAAAAAAUUGCAUUUCUCAUGGAACAACACAAAAAAUCACCAGAGAAGAGAAAAGCACAAACGAUUCUAGCUGAAGAUAUGACGCUUCUAGACAAUUGAGGUGAUUUAAUAAACAAAUAAAUCACUUCUUUUAGCUUUUUAAGUUUUUCUCUUUCAGAGGCGGGUCUAAAACAAGCCGAAAAAGUCACAGAAGCGCUCUACAAGGCAAAUGUUCUUGAUCUGGCACUAUAAGCUUAAUGUUUUACAACAGAGACUGAUACGAUGAGAAUCAUCACAGCUGGGGGUUCUAUAUCAAGCAAUAGCGAACUCAAAACUUCGCACCAACAUCACACUAACUCAUCACCACAAACAUCAGAUACCAUUUAUAUAUAUUAGUUCAAAAUGUUAAAUGUCUCCUUUUUGUUGGCAAGGAUGAGCAUAUGAAU